rnacentral:tRNA from 1 species
UUCUAAUAUGGCAGAUUAGUGCAAUGGAUUUAAACCCCAUAUAUAAAGUUUAACCUUUUAUUAGAA